rnacentral:rRNA from 1 species
UACGGAGGAUCCAAGCGUUAUCCGGAUUUAUUGGGUUUAAAGGGAGCGUAGGUUGACAUAUAAGUCAGCUGUGAAAGUUUACGGCUCAACCGUGAAAUCGCAGUUGAUACUGUAUGUCUUGAGUGUACAAGAGGUGGGCGGAAUUCGUGGUGUAGCGGUGAAAUGCUUAGAUAUCACGAAGAACUCCAAUUGCGAAGGCAGCUCACUGGGGUACAACUGACACUGAGGCCCGAAAGUGUGGGUAUCAAACAGGAUUAGAUACCCUGGUAGUCCACACAGUAAACGAUGAGUACUCGCUGUUUGCGAUAUACAGUAAGCGGCCAAGCGAAAGCAUUAAGUAUUCCACCUGGGGAGUACGCCGGCAACGGUGA